rnacentral:miRNA from 1 species
AAGAGAGAGAGAAAGAAAGAAAGAAAGAAACACAUUUUCUUUCUUUCUUUCUUUCUUUCUUUCUU